rnacentral:rRNA from 1 species
CAGCCGUAAACUAUGCGCGUUAGGUGUAUCGGUGACCACGAGUUACCGAGGUGCCGAAGGGAAACCGUGAAACGUGCCGCCUGGGAAGUACGGUCGCAAGGCUGAAACUUAAAGGAAUUGGCGGGGGAGCACCACGACAGGUGGAGCCUGCGGUUUAAUUUGGACUCAACGCCGGGAAGCUCACCGGAUAGGACAGCAGAAUGAUUGCCGGGCUGAAGACUCUGCAUGACUAGCUGAGAGGAGGUGCAUGGCGUAGACGUCU